rnacentral:lncRNA from 1 species
UCAUUGAAUAUAGGUUCUUCUUCUAUUUCAAAUGAUGAUGUUAUAAGAGAGAUUUCUUAUCAUGGUGAUUUGAAGAAAAAAGUUUAUUUGAAAGUAAAAAAGUGCUUUCAAAGUGUUUUUGCAUAAUAGCAGUGAAGAACAACUUUCAAUUUAGAACUGCAAUAUCAAAUAUGAGGUCUCUUGAAUUUAGAUGUCUGCAAGAAGAGUGCAAAUGCUAUGUUAAGGCAUCUCGUUAUAAGAAGAGCAAGUUGUGAAUGCUACGAAAAUAUAUUUUUUACCAUGACUGUUCACUGAAUACUACCCAAAGUUGUCACAUGCAAGCUUCUUUAACAGUAAUUGGCAAUUGCUUGAUAGAUGACUUUAGGUUCAUGUCUACUGAUCGUUCCAUUCCAAAAUCAAUUGUGCAUAAGACUCAUACAAAUCUUGGACUAAAUAUAAGUUAUCAAAAAGCUUAAAGGGCAAAAGAACACAUAGUAAAGAUAUUAAAAGGUGAUAUGGUUGAAUCAUACAAGUUGAUUCCAAGCUUCUUUGAUAAAUUGGUUGAAUCUAACCUAGGUACGAUUAGUUUCGUAUAUCAAAUUUAUAUUCAUUUGCAGAUAGGUGGGGAUAAACAAAUAUCGGUGCUAACAUAAAUAUUUUGUAUUUUUUAUAGGUACAUGCACUACUUUAGAGAUGGAUGAUAGAGAUCAUUUUAAGUUUCGCUUUAUGGCUUUUGGUGCAUCAAUUAAGGGUGAAAAUACUGUAGACCUAUCAUUUCUAUUGAUGGCAAGUUUUUGAAGUUUAAGUUUGGUAACCUCCUAUUAAUAGCCUAAUCACAGGAUGGUAACAAUCAAGUCUUCCCUCUUUCUGAAAAUGUAUGAUACAUCAUGGACAUGGUUUUUUUUUAAGGAGAUACGAGGUAGUUUUUCAAAGUGAGAAAAUUUAGUCAUUGUUUCUUAUAGACAUUUUAGCAUCUCUAAAGGAGUUUUAUGAGUGUUUCCUAAUGUUGAGUAUUGUGUGUGCACAAAACAUCUCUUAAAUAACAUGAAACUCCACUUUAUGGAUCCACUACUUGAUAAAUAUUUCUUUAGUUGUGCUUAUGCCUACACCAUUGAUGAAUUUGAAUACCACGUGAGAUGUAUGGAGCCAGUUUGUCCAAUUAUCAGAGGUUAUCUUAGUAAUGUUGGUUUUUAGAAGUGGUCUUAGACAUAUUCACAAAGACGAAGGUACUGAAUGAUGUCAUCAAAUUGUGCAAAAAGUGUAAAUUUAGUGUUUAAAGAUCUUAGAGAACUACUUGUAGCUACCAUGCUUAGUUCAAUUAGAGAUGUAUUACAAAAGUGGUUUAUGAACGAAGUAAAGCUUCUUUUGCAAUGAAGAGUCAUUUGACUUCUUGGGUUGAGAAUGUGUUGCAUUUAGAACAUGAAAAGUGAUAUAUACAAAGAUUGAAAUCUAUUUGUGCAUGUAUAAGAUAAAUACAUAUAGAUAGUUAUCUUUGUCUAUCUGUGCUUAUUUGUACAUAUUUUUCUUCUUUAUUUGUCUUAUGUAUUAAGUUGAUCUAAUUAGUAUCACUGAAUACAAAGUAAUGGAUGCAAAUCAAUAGUUCAUUGUGAAGUUAAACUAUUGAUUAGUAUCUCGCACAUUUCAAAAUUUUACUAUGUGUUCCAAAACCAAAUUUUAUCACAUAAGUCCAAAUGUUUAGGAAGCAUUUUAAGUAUGUAUGUAUUAUCUUGCAUAUAUCUCACACACAUAUCAUACAUUUUAAACUUUAUCUCGCACAUUCCAAAAUUUUAUUAUGCGUUCCAAAAUCAAAUUUUAACCUAUCAUAAGUUCUUUGAAGUGCUUUUAUUCAUGUUUAGGAAACCUUUUAAAAACAUAUGUAUAAUUAUCUCUCACAUAUCUCGCACAUUCCAAACUUUUACUGUGCGUUCCAAGUGUUUUUACACAUGUUUAGAAAGCCUUUUUAAGUACAUGUGUAUUAUCUCGCACACAUUUCAUACACAUCUCACACAGGUCUCACACAUUCCAAACUUUUACUAUGCAUUUCAAAAUCAAAUUUCUAUCUUUCUUAAGUUUUUAGUUACAAAUUUUCAUCUCACAAGCAACAAAAAAAUCAGUAAAUAAUACUUUAAAAUACAACAAAAGUCAAUAAACAUUUUCGUGGAAAAGAUGUAUAACAACUUUUCUUUUCUUAGUCUACUCAUACCAAAUUUUGGCAACCAACAUCAAUUUAAAGAUUAGAAAUUAUAAUUCAGAAAACCAAAAACUCAAAAGAAAAAAUAAUAGAAAUCAAAGAAUAUUUUCUACAAAAAGAACAACUUCCAAAAAAACCAACAAAGAACAAUUCACUAUAAUGGUUGGAGUUUGAGAAAAUUUUCUAAUUUGUAAGAGAAAAUUUUCUAAUUUCUAAUUUCUAGCCGUAGUCAAAUGCAAAAAAGAAACCAUCAAGCAAGUCAUGCCACCAAAUUCUUAAAGAAUAUCAACCCCAAUUGAUUAAUUCUUAAAUAAAAAAUUUUCAAUGAAUUUCUAAUCUAACUCUUAAAUAAAAAAUUUUCAAUCAAUUUCUAAUCUAACUCUUAAAUAAAAAUUUUUCAAUGAAUUUCUUUUUUUUAGAAAUCUAGUUAUAGGCAACGAUGGAAUGAUCAAAUAGAAAAAAACUUGUCACAAAAUUUCACACAAAAAUCUAGAUCUUGACGACAAUGAAGCAAAAAUCAAUAAACAAGAUUUUCGCACCAACUAAAAAUUUAUCACCUACCAAAAGGUUUAGUAACAAAAAGAAAGUUGCCUUACCACGUUAUUCGAACUCCAUGUCAUAUUGUGUCGCCUCUGUUCGAUUUUCUUCACCCUUGGUUCGAAGAUGCUAUGACAUAACAAGAGAGAUAGAGAGAAGAUCACAUAGAAGUGUGGGAGGGAAAGAAUAGUGGGGAGGGGAAGAAUGACGCAAAAAUGGGAAGCACGUUUAAUGAGAGGGAAAGAAU